rnacentral:rRNA from 1 species
UACGGAGGGGGCUAGCGUUGUUCGGAAUUACUGGGCGUAAAGCGCACGUAGGCGGUUAUUCAAGUCAGAGGUGAAAGCCCGGAGCUCAACUCCGGAACUGCCUUUGAAACUAGAUAACUCGAAUCAUGGAGAGGCGAGUGGAAUUCCGAGUGUAGAGGUGAAAUUCGUAGAUAUUCGGAAGAACACCAGUGGCGAAGGCGGCUCGCUGGACAUGUAUUGACGCUGAGGUGCGAAAGCGUGGGGAGCAAACAGG